GAGAAAACGACUUUUUGAAGGUUCGUUUAGGUUUGUAGGAACAUGACUGCUAGCUUACUUUACGUCUGUUUUUGCCAGGUCAGGUUAGCUAUGUAGCUAGACCUACUGAAGCUAACUUUACAUUUAUUUCAACUUGCUAAGAUGUCUUGUCUGCAGGUUUUGUUGCCCUUACAAUAGCAGUUACAUAACGGUGGGUUAAAUUAAUGAGUUGACUUUUGUCUAGAAACGGAGUAAAUUAGGUUUGGUGUUGAUGAUUAAGAGGCUAUUGAUUGUUUUCGGAUUUAUUUAUUCAUAGUCUGGAGAAGUAGACAAUACUUUACUGCUGUGCAUGUACUCCUGUCUGUUCCUCCAAACACGGGAUGUGCUGACAGUAAUCUACUGUAGGUACUGACUAUGGAGAAAGUAAAAUCACAUAACCCUAUGCCACAUUUUUUUGUAAGUCAAUGCUGCAUUUAAGUUAAUAAAACACGGUUAUGAAAAGCAUUUUAGUCUGUUUCAGUACUUUUGUGACACCUUCAGUGGAGGUUGACGGCUGGUGACAUUGAGCAUUGCCAAUCUAAGAAUCUCCUUUAAUGGCAUUGCUGUGAGUAGGUGUAGACUUUGGGGCAACAACUCGUUGGUGAGAAAAACGUGUCUGAAUAGAUAACAGAAAACAAUGGAGAGAGAGGAAUUUGAAGCAAAGGGUCCAGGCUGGAAUUUGAUUGUGGCAUGUGGACUAAGGUCUUAUUACGUCUUAUAGUGGCUACCCUUAACAUGGACUUCACCAAAUGGGUUUGAGCGGCUCCUGAAAUCAUUUUUUAUAGAGGGGAUCGUGCCAAGCCACAAUGCACACCUGACUGACAACUUGUGAAUCUUCAAGCUAAACUGAUGACAGCACAUCCUCAAAGUUCCAGUUUGCUGAACAUUGAACAUCUGUCCUACCUGUGUUUAGUCAAGUCUGGACCCUGGACCUCAAUCUUGUCAAGGGAAAUUAGAGAGAGAAUCAUGCCAGCAGACAUCUGAUGGUCAACAGUGAAUCUUCAACAGAAGCCAGUGGUUCCAGUUGCAGUUCCAGCAUCGUGUGCGAUAUGAUCCCAUUCUGAGCCUCCUGUUCAGUUAAGUCUGAACUCAAUGAAUUAUUAAUCUUAACCAGGCAAGUGUCUAUGUUUUUGCAUGAACUAUUUCUCAUGUGAUCACAUGCUGUUUUUUCCCCAAUAUCUAAACACUGCCUUGUUGCUGUAGUGGAUAAGUUGUUGUAUUUCAGAGAAUGCUUAAAACAAUUUCUUAAAGUUUAUUAAUGAUAAUAUGUUUAAUUUGUUAUUUCCUUUGUAAUUUACCUUUAGCAGUUUUUGACUGUAAAAUCUGUGCCAACCAACUUUAUUAUCUGAUGUGUUGUAUUUCUUGCAAUGACAUUAUGGUGACCACAGCUGCUGGUAAUUCACUGUAAAGUUGAACUUAGUAAUAAAGUACCGUAAUACCUCA